CCUGUGGCUCAGUUGGUAAAGAAUCUGCCUGCAAUGCAGGAGACCCAGGUUCGAUCCCUGGGUCAGGA
rnacentral:tRNA from 1 species